rnacentral:pre_miRNA from 1 species
AGUGGGAUAGCUGGGUCAAAUGGUGGUUCCAUUCCAAGAUUUCUAAGGAAUCUUUAUACUGCUGUCCAGAUUGGUUGCACCAAUUUGCAGUCCCAUUAGCAAU